CCAAAGGCUCUUUUAAGAGCCACCCAUGUUGUCGUUUAAAGAUCUGU
rfam:Macaca mulatta chromosome 4, whole genome shotgun sequence.